rnacentral:lncRNA from 1 species
ACUGCCGCCGAGGACGGCCCGGCCGAGGGAAGCAAGCGAGAGGCGCGGCUGCCGCCGGAGCCGGGCCCCGUCGGGCUCUAGCCUCUCCGGCCGGCUGCAGGGGUACUGAGACCAGUACCCGGGGGCCAGCAGCGACCCGGAAACACUCGGCCCGGAAAUGAUGUCACCAUGAGGCGGGCCCGAAGAGAGGGUGGACCACGGCUGCGCGCUGGCUCCGGGAAGCGGUCGAUGCCCGCGGCCGACGGAGACUACAACCCAGAGGCGGAGGACAAAGCGGAAGGCCGAAGAGCGAGGACGAAACCGGCGGAACCGCACUUUGGAGCCUAACGAGCCAUCGCUGCGUCUGAGACUGGGACCCGGAAGUAAACAGGCCGGACGUGACGCAAGCCGCUCGGCCUAGGGAUGGUGGCUGGCCGGGUUGUCAUGGAAACCGCUCAGGAGCAGGGAGCUGGGAGCUAUGAGUGCUGACUGCGUGAACUCGGCCUCCACUUCCCGGACCUGCCACUUAUCAUGAUCCACGAGCUGUACUCAUGACUCCGCACAAGCAAGCAGGGGCUGACGGUCGGAUCCCUCGCCCCCAUUUUACGGACAGAAGUACCGAGGCUCAAAGAGAGCCAGUGAGAUGCUGAAAUCACGCGUGAUUGGAAUCCAGCCUUGCUAGGGCUGCGGGUGUUACGGGCCGUGGGCGGCGGUUAAGAGCGUGGGUUCUAUUUUUAGUUUUGCCACUUACUAGCUGUGUGACCUUGGACAAGUUACCUAACCUCUCUGAGCCUCAGCUUUCUAACCUGUAAUAUUAAAUAAUAAAGCCAGGCGUGGUGGCACGCGACUGUAGUCCCAGCUAGUCGGGAGGCUGAGGCGAGAGGAUGGCUUGCUCCCAGGUGUUCGAGACCAACCUGGGCAACAUAACGAGGCCACGUCUCUUAAAAAAAAAAAAAAAAAAAAAAAAAAAAAAAAGCCGGGCACGGCGGCUCACGCCUGUAAUCCCAGCACUUUCGGAUAAACUAUAUAUAUAUAUAAUCUGACAUCCCCACCAGACCCUGAGCUUCUUAUUCAUCUAUUUCCCCCCGAGCUCUGCACAUGUCUGAUGAGGAGGCACACAACAGAUGUUCAUUGAUUGUAGGAUUCUCACUCUGAGUCUUGGUGACCCCAGCUAAAACCGGUGGGGCUUGUGUGAUGAGUCAGUGACACAAUACUGGGAAACGUUUGGAGAACCAGCAAUCUGCUGCUGUCCAAACAGUAGCAUUACUGUGUUUACCUGUCGUUGCCUGAGCACCGCUCAAAGUCCCUGUGUUCUUUAUCAGCUCAUGUUUAAGCUCCUCUCUUAAUUAUCUGCAAUGUGAUGAUGUUCACAGGAAUUCCAUCUGAGACAAACUGUCCCACCUUAAGUCUGCCUCUUACAGCAACUCAGCACUCUGGUUUGGUAGCUCUUACAAUAUUGCAUUUUCACGUGGGGCUGCUUAAAAAAGUCCCCUCCAGCUCUGUGGGUCUAUGACAGGCAAAAGAGAAACAAAGAUUUUGAAGAAGGGCUUUACCAGUAGGAAACCCUGGUCAUCAUCUACUAUCAGAAAAGACCCAAAGUCUCCAAAGACAGUCACAUUUCUCAGUUUUUUUUUUUUUUU